rnacentral:lncRNA from 10 species
UAAGGUCUCUUUACAGACUGUUUAUAUGAUAUAAAAUAUAAUAAGUGCAGCUUAAGCUAUUAAGAUAAAGCCUUUAAAAUGACACGAGGACUACAUCAAGACAAAGUGAUCAAGUGAAUUGCAGAACUGGGGAACAGUGAAGGGCUGCGAACUUCCCAUCCAGAAUACUGUUUAGAAGAUGUCCACACUGAAUAUGUUCUUGGGGCUGCGGAGUCCAAGAUCAAAGUGCCGGCAGAUUCAGUGUCUGGUGAGACAUCUGUGGAAGUGGGGAGAGAGCUCUCUAGGAUUUCUUUUAUGAAGACAGUAACUGCAUUCAUGAGUGCUCCACCCUCAUGAACUAAUCACCUCCUGAAGACCCCG